AAAUUGAAGAGUUUGAUCAUGGCUCAGAUUGAACGCUGGCGGCAGGCCUAACACAUGCAAGUCGAGCGGUAGCACAGAGAGCUUGCUCUCGGGUGACGAGCGGCGGACGGGUGAGUAAUGUCUGGGAAACUGCCUGAUGGAGGGGGAUAACUACUGGAAACGGUAGCUAAUACCGCAUAAUGUCGCAAGACCAAAGUGGGGGACCUUCGGGCCUCAUGCCAUCAGAUGUGCCCAGAUGGGAUUAGCUAGUAGGUGGGGUAACGGCUCACCUAGGCGACGAUCCCUAGCUGGUCUGAGAGGAUGACCAGCCACACUGGAACUGAGACACGGUCCAGACUCCUACGGGAGGCAGCAGUGGGGAAUAUUGCACAAUGGGCGCAAGCCUGAUGCAGCCAUGCCGCGUGUGUGAAGAAGGCCUUCGGGUUGUAAAGCACUUUCAGCGGGGAGGAAGGCGUUAAGGUUAAUAACCUUGGCGAUUGACGUUACCCGCAGAAGAAGCACCGGCUAACUCCGUGCCAGCAGCCGCGGUAAUACGGAGGGUGCAAGCGUUAAUCGGAAUUACUGGGCGUAAAGCGCACGCAGGCGGUCUGUCAAGUCGGAUGUGAAAUCCCCGGGCUCAACCUGGGAACUGCAUUCGAAACUGGCAGGCUAGAGUCUUGUAGAGGGGGGUAGAAUUCCAGGUGUAGCGGUGAAAUGCGUAGAGAUCUGGAGGAAUACCGGUGGCGAAGGCGGCCCCCUGGACAAAGACUGACGCUCAGGUGCGAAAGCGUGGGGAGCAAACAGGAUUAGAUACCCUGGUAGUCCACGCCGUAAACGAUGUCGAUUUGGAGGUUGUGCCCUUGAGGCGUGGCUUCCGGAGCUAACGCGUUAAAUCGACCGCCUGGGGAGUACGGCCGCAAGGUUAAAACUCAAAUGAAUUGACGGGGGCCCGCACAAGCGGUGGAGCAUGUGGUUUAAUUCGAUGCAACGCGAAGAACCUUACCUGGUCUUGACAUCCACAGAACUUUCCAGAGAUGGAUUGGUGCCUUCGGGAACUGUGAGACAGGUGCUGCAUGGCUGUCGUCAGCUCGUGUUGUGAAAUGUUGGGUUAAGUCCCGCAACGAGCGCAACCCUUAUCCUUUGUUGCCAGCGGUUCGGCCGGGAACUCAAAGGAGACUGCCAGUGAUAAACUGGAGGAAGGUGGGGAUGACGUCAAGUCAUCAUGGCCCUUACGACCAGGGCUACACACGUGCUACAAUGGCAUAUACAAAGAGAAGCGACCUCGCGAGAGCAAGCGGACCUCAUAAAGUAUGUCGUAGUCCGGAUUGGAGUCUGCAACUCGACUCCAUGAAGUCGGAAUCGCUAGUAAUCGUAGAUCAGAAUGCUACGGUGAAUACGUUCCCGGGCCUUGUACACACCGCCCGUCACACCAUGGGAGUGGGUUGCAAAAGAAGUAGGUAGCUUAACCUUCGGGAGGGCGCUUACCACUUUGUGAUUCAUGACUGGGGUGAAGUCGUAACAAGGUAACCGUAGGGGAACCUGCGGU
rnacentral:rRNA from 1 species